ACCGCGAAAAUAUGCCGCGCAAAAGGCGUUAUUUAUAUUCGAACGCAAGGCAUAUAUGUUGUUGUCGAAAGAACGUUUCGAAGGAUGCACCGGCUUUUUGCGUUGUAUUUCAUUAAUCGCGGUCGCGAUAGUUAACGUGUCACCAGUAGAAUGCGUGGAUUUUCGUGUUUUACGUUUAUGACUUUCGCAGGAAAAAGCGUUCAGGACGAGGUACGAAGGAUGAAGGAUGAAAUCAGGUUGGCACGUUUGUUGGGUGCAGCUUAAAUUACAACAAAAGCGCAUCAGGACGAGAGAUGAAGGACGAAGGACGAAGGACGAAGGACGAAGGACGAAAUCAGGCUGGCACGUUCGUCGGGCGCAGCUUGGUGUUGAGUGCCAAAGUGAAGAAACAAAGAAGAAAUAAAAAAAUCAGGAUUGAGAAGAAAGCGCAAGGAUUCACUAGGAAACAGCGGAGCAGCCAUGUGAUCAACGUAAUUAGUCCAACUCUACUGCAACUCCCUGUGCAUCGUAUUGUCGCAAUUGCAUCGACAGCGGUGGUGGCUGUAGGCUACCUGCGGUCUUUGAUAGCGGAUCCGACGACAGCUACCUCCGGAAAAGUCUGGGUAGUGAAAUAGCCGGCCGUAUAAAGCGACGUCGGAUCACGGUGGAUUUGUAUGGCAAGAGAAAGAGAAACAGGAAAACAGACGCGUGAAAGACUGAACGGAAGGCCGCGAAGAGAUUUCUCGCGAGACGACCCGGGACGAGACGUGGAAAAUUGUGGUGGCAGCCGCUCGCGUUAUUCGGAUGCCGCGCGUGCCUCGGAAGUUUAAUUUCGAAUCGUAUUAUAUCCGGUGCGCGCGCUACAGGCAUGAGCUACGGAGCAAGAGAGAACCAAAACGAGAAAGAGAAAGAGGUAGAGGAAGGGAAGUGGAGAUCUAAGGGGGUAUAAAAGAGAAGGAGACUCCAAGAUAGAAGAGCGAAAGGAGAGGCGAGGGGGAGAGGGAGGGGGAGGGGCGAGGAAGGAUGCUGAGAGGAAGAGGCAGGGAGGGCGGGGAGGCUGGAGGAUUUGCAGUCGGGCAAGCAGUCAAGCGAACAGCCAGCCAGUCGGCCAACCCCCCAUCGGAGGGUCGAGAAGCGUAAGGGUGAGCGGGAAGACGGAUAGAUCUUAGGAUCGAAGGGAAAGCAGAAGGAAGACGGAGAGAAAACGAGAAAGAGGGAGAAAGGGAGAGGAACGGCCCAAACUCUGUGCGGACCACGUCUGUGGAAACCGUUGAUCGAGAGGGGGCUGGAAAAGGAUAAGAGGCUCGGGGGAAGAGGAGAGAAGGCUGAGAUGAGGCCGCGACUGCGGCGGUACCGUCGGCGGUGCUGCACAUCUCGAGAGCGGGGGAUGAGUAUGAGCGCGAAGGGAUGCACUGUGCGAGAGGUAGGUAGAGAGUAGAGAGCGGGAGAGGAGAAAGACACGGGGAAGAAGAUGGCCGCGAGGGGGGAGGGAGCCCUGGAAGUCGCUCGAGAAACUUUGGGAAUCGCCGAGGUGUUCUCGGUUUUCACUUACAAGGGGGUUGAAUGUUGGCCGCGGCACGCUCGGGUGGACGGAGUUGCCGGCGCGGCGCGGCGGCGGUUGCUUGAGAACUGCCGGAUUCUCGAGCGUUAUCAUCGCGGAACAACAACAAUCUGACGAUCCUACGCUCGUUUAUGGGACUUUGAGGGUGGUUUUGGAAGUGUUUGCGAGUUGUCGCGACGAUACGGAAAGGAUCAGAGAAGGGUUGCGCGUUUCUCAUCCCAGAUGUAAUCCAUUGGAUUUCCGAGCAAACUGUGGGCCUGAAAGAUUUUUUAGCCUUCUACCGUGUGUAGUAAAUUUCAUAUUUCGAUCAUUCUACACAAAAUGGAAUGUUGAUCACAACAAUCUUCGACGGGCAGAAGUUCUGAGUAAAGAAUAUAAAAGCGUCCCUCUCUUUGAAGCGAAUCGCUUAUAAUGUACGUCUGAUGCAUUAUUGAUUACAUUUUAUCAGGAAGAGAGAAAAGAGGAUUCUUCGUUCUUACUUUGCGAUGUAAAAGGGAGCAUCGUAUAAACUGAUGCGGCGAAAACAAUAAGAACGCGGAUCGAAAACGCGGAUGUUGGAAUAAUGCCGAAGUUCGUGGCGUGUAUAUAAUAGAAGCUUAUAGACGGGGAGACGCACGUCGAAUCUAACGACAUUCUAUUAAUUAUCAUACGUUAAUGUCCGGGCGUCUCGCGCAUGUCGGGAAAACAAUACGAGGUACGCGACGUUUAUGAUAGGCACUGCUAAUGAUGGCGCAAGAAACGCCAGCGGGUUUAAUGCAUGCCCUCCCACAGGAAUGUUUAACGUAAGAGCGACAAGCAACGCGAUUAAUGACGAUAGUUGAGAAGAGGAUGCCGUUAUUACGGGAGUUUCUCUUGUACUUGUAACGCUUGAAAACGAUAUUCCACUGUUGCGUGCUUUGACUGUUAUGCGUGCCGAGGCGGCAUCAUGCAAAGGUGUUAUUAAUAAUUUGUCUUUGGUAAGAGUAAACUCUUGAUGUGUUUAGUAAAAACAUUUGCGAUGAAUCUUGUUUAAUUUUGCGUAUUAUUAUGUGUAAAUAUGAAACUAAUGAUAUUAAUAUAAAUAUGUAAAAAUGAAAACACUGAUGAUAUUUAAAACAUGGUCAUACAAGUGUACUCGUUAUACAGAUAUUGCUUGUUCUUUUUAGAAAAAAAAUUGUAUCAGUAUAAUAAGUGUAAUACUUAUAUUAAUGACAUAUUAGUUACGGUAACACAAUAAUCGUAGAAAUAACAAUGUACUAUAAAAACAGAAACGCGAAACGUUUGUAUAUGAAAUUUUAACGUAGCCUGUAUAAAAUUUCAUGGAUUAGUGUUUUACGUUAUUUAUUUUAUUAGUUAAAAAAACAUUUGAUAAAAAACACAUUUUCUUUUAAAGGAAUAAAAAAAAUUUGAUAUAACCGGCAAUUUAUUUUGAAGUUAAUUUACAAUAAAAAACAGGUAGUUAUAACUGUUAUUCCCGAGAGUCGAUAUUAUUCGCGCGCGUAUAAGUUAUUUUUAUUAAAAUUUCGGAUAAUCAAUAAAAAAUAGAAAUGCCCGUUAGGUUGCAUAUUAAAAAUAGUUUAUAACGCUAAAUAACUUGGUACAAUAGAAUUUACGAACUGUGUAAAAGCCAUACGUUUUAUUUAUAAAAUUAUAUAAUAUAGUUAUGUAGAAUUAUAUAAUAAAUUAUUCAAUAAACAAAUGCAACAUUUGUUUACAAAUAAAUGUCUACCAAGAUUAUUGAUUAUAAUAACCUCACGUGAAAGAACUCUCUACAUAAUCAUGCUAAGUUUGCGGAAGUCUCGCAAAAUUAUAACGAGAAAGGUGACGGUCAACAACGCGUUACAGCGAAUCUCCAACAGGCAUGAUAAAUAGGAGGGUCGAAAUCCCAGUUUUAUCCUAAGGCAGGCUAAUGCAAAUGAAAGGAUGCAUCGCGAACAACAGAGGUAAAAUAUGCGAAACAGGAAAGUAAACCGUAGAAGUCGCCGCCUUGAUUCACUUUACUACCACAAAUAAUGAAUGAUGGUAUCGAAGAAAGGAUUUUUCUUGGCGGAAUAAAAUUUCAAUGAUUUUUUUCAACAAUAUUCAAACUUGAGAACGCGAAAGCGUUUCUAUCGUAAAUGGCGAAAUUUAUUUUACAUUUCUACUUUAUUCUACGGUUUUCUUGGUAAAAUUAAUGUUCAUUGUUACAAGAUAAAAUAGAAUAACUGCGUCGAAUAUCUUCAUUUGCUACAACGUCUUGCGGAAGGAUUUCUGCAGACCGUAUCGUAACAUUUUCGUACGACUUAUGUCUUAAUUAACGCUCAGUUUCCGAGGUGGUACGAUUCCACUAAACGACGGCGGCGCGACCAAUCGACUUCUAAAGGACUCAAUAAGGAAACCAUACGAACACCUCCGCGCAACUCAUCCAAUCCCUUGAAUUGGCGCAAUAAAAGUAAAAUACGUGGUAAAAGGGCAGAGACGCUAAUAGACAAUUUGGAAAGUAUUCUCGAGGAUGACACGCGACAAGACGACAUUUGAAUAAUCCCAUGGAGGAGAAAGGGAGAACGACAAAGGAUACGAGGGCGAGAAGGGAGGUGGAGGGAAAUUGAGGGCGAGAGAUGAGGGAGGUAGGCAGGGGGAAAACGCAAUAUGCCUCGACUGAAAAUUGGGCGGCCGGGUUCACAUCCCUGGAUAUGUCUAGCAGAUAGUUUGUCCUUGACUGCUUAAUUAAUUUUACUCCCGCGCUCAGAAACGGACGGGGAAUCGUGCUCUACGUACGUCUUGUUUGAAGACCCGACCCAUAAAUUUGUAGCCCGAGUGCUUCGUGCCGCUGACAACGUAAAUUCCGGCUCUCGUGCAAAAUUGCGAAAUUUGACUUCCGCCGUGACUUCGUGACAUGUCUUCGUUUGUACGAGACGCGACUUUGGGCGGCCGAAUAUUGAGAUAAUGCAGUGACUACUUUUUCAACACACACACACACAUACUGAAUAUUCGGGACAUAAUAAAUGUGCGCCACACUGUCACUUAGCAAACCGUAAAGAAUAGUUACACAAAUUAAUUGUAACGGAUAUUUUGACAGUUUUUCCUAUAUUUAAAUUAAUCGAAUCGAAUUAUCUGCGUGGGCACUUUUUAGAAAUAAUAUGAAUAUUAUUAAAAAGUGUCAAAUCUAAUUCGAGACACAGAAAGAUUUUAAUGCGCGGCUUCAUUUUUUUAUUGUCUCCAAUAAACAGUAGACAGUUUAAACGUUUAUGUUAUUCGAUAUUUCUUAACCGGACACUUUAUGUAUGAGAAACUUCGCUCGAAGGAAGAAAAUAAGAAAUAAUGCAUUUUAGUCUUUGUGUAAAAGUUAUAUUCAUACAGACAUAAAUGGGAAAAACGAGAGUAAUAUUUAUAGAAUUAUCGGAGUGCCAUUUUAUUUUUGCAAUGGUUUUUCUUAUAACGUUUGAGUGAUAUCGACAGUCGCGUCAAAAACUGUGACGGUAUAAUUCAUCUCAGGAAGCUAAAAGCUUUGCCAAUAAUAAUCGAAUUCGAUUAAGGUUCUUAUCAAUUGUGAUUGUAUAAGCCUCAGUGUAUUGUCUUUAUUUUCGAACAUGUGACGUAAUACGGAAAUCAAUAAUUAAUUAUAACGUAAAUCCAAGAAAAAGUACCUUUGAAUAUUACCUGAUUAUAUAUAUAGUAAAACCAAACGUUAAAUAAAACU